UGCAAAAGCCGCUUUCGCGAACUAUCGCCGCGACGAUAUAUCGGUUGUUUUAUUAUUACAAGUACUGAUUCAGCUGUAGGGGACAUGUAACCGACAAACGGAAGUCUCAGGAGAGCACCUGUGAUUAUAAUAAAGCAGGCGGCGCAGGAACUCCAGGGCACCCAAGGGACAGUGGGGGGAUCAAAGCUCGAUGCAGAACGGUACGUAGGUUGGGGCCGCCGGGGCAGGUGUGUCGCAGGGAGUGUUCGCACGGACAGCUCCCCUGGAACGCGCAGCAGUGCCUCGCAAGGUCGAGAUACUUAAAAGGCACCUGCGUCCAUCUUUCUUUUGCCUCUGUGCAGUGAGCACGAUUAACGAGAAUAAUAUGGAGGGCAUCCGGUGCAGUCGCGAAUGCGUAAUGGAAAAUGUAGCUCGCGUCGCCUGGCGUGUGUAGUAAUAUCGGAGUUGGUUGUACGAACUUAAUGCAUAAUACGCUUUGUUACGGUACCUUAACGGAAUGGGUCUAGAGGACGGUGUUGGUACAUUUUUUCGUACCGCCCUAAUCCUAUACCCCCCACUACAAACACACACACAUACCCCCUUUUUUUAUGUAUACAUACAAUUACUUGCCAUGACGGAGCAUAGCCUCCUUUAUUUUUGAAAAAAAGAUGAGGUUAUGGGACGGAUUGACCAGUUCAAGUUGUCAACUUGUCAGUAACUGUCAUAGGAAUCACUGUAAUAAACACAAUUCCACGAUCGGAUUGUUUACUUUCAUUUUUUGUUGUAACACUGAGGACUACAUAGAACUUUAUUUUGUAUAUGUGAGAGACGUAUGUGGAUAUCACGAGCUUAAGCCAAUGUGCGAUACACAGACAAAGCAGUUGCUACAGCAUGAACUGCAUUGAGGGCCACACAACACAUACGUAAUUAAAGGUGCAAAAUAUAGGGGGAAGCUUCAAUAUACGCUCUGUAGCACUGCAAAGUAUAACGUAUAUUGUAUGUGUACAAUAAAUGUUAAAAGAAACAAAGCAUCAAUGUUCCAUUUGCCUGCAAGUUUAUUAUCAAGUUCAAGUUUACUGAAGUUUAUUAUGAGCAUAUGUACAGCAGGAAUCUACUGACACACCCGCAGUCAAGGCGGCUGUUCAAGGUGUGCUGGCUGCCUCAGUGUAAGAAAAAGAAAUUGGGUGAAUGUCGACACCAGUACCACUGCUUCUUGCCUCUGACCUGCACGUGCCUCCACGGCAUUUUUGUGCACAAGUGUGCUGGCGAGGGAUCUGAUGUGCAUAUCUGCAGUUUAUGGAUACAUGUAAAAGACUCAGCAUCAAGUGCAAGUGAACGGACCUACAGGCCCGAAGUCGAUCAUGCAAAUAGAUUCGCUGCACAAAUUUGUGACCAGAAAAGAUAUUCCACAUGAAAUGGCAUGCAAGGAAGUGUUGAAAAUAUUGCACAGUUAAUAAAACGCCUACGCUAUUAAAA